UUGGAUAUGUUGGUUCGAGCGUGUAGUCGUGUCUCUUAGGCAAAUCCGGGAGAAUUAGAUGAGGCGUGAUAACGAGUCUGCUUGCAGACGAAGUGAGUGAUACCCUGCUUCCAAGAAAAGCCACUAAGCUUCAGCUUGUAAUUGACCGUACCGCAAACCGACACUGGUGCGCGAGAUGAGUAUUCUAAGGCGCUUGAGAGAGCUCUGGAGAAGGAACUCGGCAAAUUGACACCGUAACUUCGGAAGAAGGUGUGCCUUUAGUAGGUGAACCAUUUACUUGGGGAGCCCAAUGAGGCCGCAGAGAAUCGGUGGCUGCAACUGUUUAUUAAAAACACAGCACUCUGCAAAGACGAAAGUCGACGUAUAGGGUGUGACUCCUGCCCGGUGCUGGAAGAUUAAAUGAUGGGGUGCAAGCUCUUGACUGAAGUCCCAGUAAACGGCGGCCGUAACAAUAACGGUCCUAAGGUAGCGAAAUUCCUUGUCGGGUAAGUUCCGACCUGCACGAAAGGAGUAAUGAUGGCCACACUGUCUCCUCCUGAGACUCAGCGAAGUUGAAAUGUUUGUGAUGAUGCAAUCUCCCCGCGAAAAGACGGAAAGACCCCAUGAACCUUUACUGUAGCUUUACAUUGGACUUUGAACAGAUCUGUGUAGGAUAGGUGGGAGGCUUUGAAGAGUGGACGCUAGUUUGCUAGGAGCCAACGUUGAAAUACCACCCUGGUGUGUUUGAGGUUCUAACCUUGGUCCCUUAUCGGGAUUGGGGACAGUGUAUGGUGGGCAGUUUGACUGGGGCGGUCUCCUCCCAAAGUGUAACGGAGGAGUUCGAAGGUACGCUAAAUACUGUCGGAAGUCGUGUUGAUAGUGCAUUGGCAUAUGCGUGCUUGACUGCGAGACUGACAAGUCGAGCAGGUACGAAAGUAGGACAAAGUGAUCCGGUGGUUCUGUAUGGAAGGGCCAUCGCUCAACGGAUAAAAGGUACUCUGGGGAUAACAGGCUGAUACCGCCCAAGAGUUCAUAUCGACGGCGGUGUUUGGCACCUCGAUGUCGGCUCAUCUCAUCCUGGGGCUGUAGCCGGUCCCAAGGGUAUGGCUGUUCGCCAUUUAAAGAGGUACGUGAGCUGGGUUUAAAACGUCGUGAGACAGUUUGGUCCCUAUCUUCCGUGGGCGCUGCAAGAUUGAGAGAGCCUGCUCCUAGUACGAGAGGACCGGAGUGGACGCACCUCUGGUGUAUCGGUUGUCACGCCAGUGGCAUCGCCGAGUAGCUAAGUGCGGAAGAGAUAACCGCUGAAAGCAUCUAAGCGGGAAACUCGUCUCAAGAUGAGUCUUGCCGGGGCCUAGAGCCCCCUGAAGGGUCGUUCGAGACCAGGACGCUGAUAGGCUGGGUGUGGAAGCGCGGUAACGCGUUAAGCUAACCAGUACUAAUUGCCCGUGAGGCUUGACCUG
rnacentral:rRNA from 1 species